rnacentral:rRNA from 1 species
AUUGAACGCUAGCGGGAUGCCUUACACAUGCAAGUCGAACGGAGUGGCGAACGGGUGAGUAAUGUACCUGAACGUGCCCAGUAGCGGGGGAUAAUUACGCGAAAGCGUAGCUAAUACCGCAUACUCUCGCUACCGCCGAUACCGGAUUAGCUAGUUGGUGGGGUAACGGCUCACCAAGGCGUAGAUCCGUAGCUGGUUUGAGAGGACGACCAGCCACACUGGAACUGAGACACGGCCCAGACUCCUACGGGAGGCAGCAGUGGGGAAUAUUGGACAAUGGGGGAAACCCUGAUACAGCCAUCCCGCGUGUGCGAUGAAGGCCUUCGGGUUGUAAAGAACUUUUGGCAGGGAAGCGGUACCUGCAGAAUAAGCACCGGCUAACUACGUGCCAGCAGCCGCGGUAAUAC